UACGUAGGGGGCAGGCGUUAUCCGGAAUUACUGGGUGUAAAGGGUGAGUAGGCGGCAUGGUAAGCCAGAUGUGAAAGCCUUGGGCUUAACCCGAGGAUUGCAUUUGGAACUAUCAAGCUAGAGUACAGGAGAGGAAAGCGGAAUUCCUAGUGUAGCGGUGAAAUGCGUAGAUAUUAGGAGGAACACCAGUGGCGAAGGCGGCUUUCUGGACUGUAACUGACACUGAGGUACGAAAGCGUGGGGAGCAAACAGG
rnacentral:rRNA from 1 species